CAAUUUGCCCUUUACUGAUUUUUCAACAUUUGUUCUGAAUUCAGAUUCCCAUCCCAUCUCCCCCAAAAUAAUAUAAUAAAUUAAUAAUUUCGCUCUCGAAGAAGUUAGUAGUCAUCCCCUGCUGCGAUUCGCCUAUCCUUCGAACAGCAAAAUGGAGAAGAUGAUGUUACUGAGAUCCAUAAUCGGCGCUGCCUGUUUCAGAUCUCCUCGUUUCGCCGCCAUUUUCCACCACCAACUCCGCCACCACUUGGCUUCUCGAUUCAUCUUCACUCUCUCGUCACCUUCAUUUGCAGCCCCUUCCAAUCGCAUCCCUUCUGGUGUUCUUUUUUAUCUAUAUAUAUAUCCGCUAGUUAAUUAAAUUAUGCCCUUUCAGUUGUUUGUUAUUCGAUUAUGACUUGCUUGGUGGUGAUUCUAUUUUUUCCCCUUUUUUCCCUCCUUAAUCGAUUUGUUCUAUAUCCAAUUCCUUUAUCAAAAUUUAGGGUUUUUUCUUCUUAGAUUAAUACUCCCUCCGUCACCUAACACGUUAAUAAAUACAAUUUUUUAAAUUAAUUUUUUAAUUACAUCCAUUUAUAUUUAAAUUUAAUUAAAUAUUAAAAAGUAAUUUAAGUGAAUUCUUAAAAAAUAAUCUUAAAAUAAAAUUAAGUAAGAUUAUAAUAGGUAAUUUAUAUAUUAAUAUAAUUUAAAAAUAAAUAAUGAUUUUGAGACAGUAAAUAAAAAAUUCAAAAAUUAGGGACGGCUAGUAUCUGUUGGCAUAGUUUUCAAAGAGCUUUACUGGAUUUCAUUAUGUCCGCUGUAGUAAACUCCUGUUAAAGAGAGUUUUAUGCAUUUAAUGUCUUUCAGGUGUAUGCUGGAUUCACAACAUUUCGCUGGCGUAGAAGCUCUAAUAGCUUAAGUAUGCUAUAUUGCUAUGGCUAUGGUUUGGUUGCUUCCCAGUGAUCACUUGCUUUUCAUUUGUUUUGAUGAUUUUGUCAUUUCCUGAAAUUAAUGGAUUAACAUCCAUAUAUUAACAUUUGAGGAAACAGGCCUUCACCAAAUUAUUGUGGGUUUUUACUUUUCUCUACCAGAAUGAGAUCCUGGUUUCACAAGGGGUCCCUGAUUCUGUGGUCUUGCUGUCUGAAUGCUGUGAUGUGUGUUCAAAUAUAUUGUGCUUGUAUUGAAUACACCUUGUAACUUUAUACUAAAAUCUAAUGUUCUGCAGUGAAUUAGUUUCAUCUGAUACUACCUUUCUAAUAGUAAUUGUCAUGUUGUGAAUUUGUUCUUAUGGGGCAACCCCUAGUAGACUUCAGAUCUUCUCUUGCUAUGGCUAUUGGACGCGUGCGAUAUUUUAGUGAGGACGUAACUCACAUCCCUGUCAUACAGGAUCCAGAAAUUCGAAAUGUUUUCAAGGACUUGAUGGUUGCAAGUUGGUAUGAGCUUUAUGAUAAUGUGAAGAAAGCAUUGUCUAAAAACACUUAUGACAAAGCUGGCCAAGAAGUUUUGAAGAAUGUCUUCCGUGCAGCUGAAGCAGUUGAGGAAUUCGGCGGCACGCUCAUUUCUAUGAAAAUGGAACUUGAUGACAGCAUCGGAUUGAGUGGCGAGCUAUUAUAAUUUAAACAGAAGAUGUAAAACCUUUAUCAGAUGAUUUUGCCAAUGCACUUCGAACUGUUUAUCAA